GUGUGCUGGAGAGCUUCACGUACCUACAAGGAAUACUUGCACUGGUCAGCAUCCUUCUGUGGGCCUGCAAUCCUAACCGACAAGGGCACAGAAGGCAGCUGUGCUCACACGGCUCUGAGAGCUCCCUUCACAGGCACUCCUCUGACCCAAGGAGUAACAACACACAGAACAAACAGCAAGGCACAACUCCUUUCCUCGGAGGGGCAACUGGACAGCCUUUAACCCUUUAAAAACCAGGGACUGAUUUUCACGGGUUCUGACUUCAGCACUGCAUCAUCCAGACACCUCCAGAUCCUAGCAGUGACCUCAAGGUCUCCAAAGAAGAUGAUGGGUCACAGAAGAACUCCACCUGGAACAUGCUUUAACUGUGGCAAGGACAGCUUCUGUGAAACACUGCCCUUCACCUUGCCCACAGCACAGCCUCUACGAACUGAGGACCAAGUGCGAUACUGGGGAGCUGACUGGCCCACUUUGCCUAGACAACAUAGACUGGUCCUCCAAGCUCCUCCUCCACAGGAAGGUCUGUUGGAUCUUUUGGGCCUGAUGGCCAAAGGCUGUCCACAGAGCUUGAUUGUCAGGUAGCCAGUAAGGAUCUAUUAUGUUUAAUAGACUCAGGACCUACUUGAUGUAUACUUAUUGAAUCACUGUUGGGUUCCGAGCUCCUACUAUGACUCAAACACAUGAGUCUAUUGACUUUUCUGCAAUGUGGAUCUCAAUAGAAAUUACACAGUGGUAAUGCUAACAUAUGUAAAAUUUUAUCUUUUGAUAAACUUAAAAUUCUUGUAAGUUGAAUGGAACUGAUUUGAAUUGUCCUCUCCCAGGUAAAAUAGACUCCAUAUAAAUACUGUCACCCAACA